rnacentral:rRNA from 1 species
AACGGGAUAGCCCAUCGCCGAACCGCGCGUCUUCUAGGCGUCGCGGAAUGUGGCGUUUGGGAGAGUCUUCUCGCGGCGUGGACGGCCAGUCAAAGUCCAACUUGACAGUGGCCACGGCCCGUAGAGGGUGAUAGGCCCGUAAGGCGGCUGUCCUGUCGCGCCGACUUUUCCCUAGAGUCAGGUUGCUUGGAAGUGCAGCCCAAAGCGCCAGGUAAACUCCUGGUAAGGCUAAAUAUGACCCCGAGACCGAUAGCAAACAAGUACCGUGAGGGAAAAUUGAAAAGAACUUUGAAGAGAGAGUUCAACAGUACGUGAAACUGUGUGGUGGUAAACGGAGGGGUUCUCGAAGUUCGGCGGGGGAACUCAACCUUGGAGGGCGUGCGGCCGCCGGGCGCCUGAUCAGCGAUGACUGGCCCCGGCGUACGGACGUUCUCACGGGCGCACUUUCCCCCGUCUUCACGACAGGAACCGGUGAGGCUGGACCCGAGGUCCCGGACGAAGUUGUAGGUUUUGCCUGCAGCCCCGGGUGUCCUGGCUCCGGCCUCGACGGGUAGAUAAGAGGGCUCGUAUAGCGAGCGGUUUUCUGCCGCGGCCCUCAUCUCUCUGUCGAGUAGGUCGGCGGCCCCUCCGACCCGUCUUGAAACACGGACCAAGGAGUCUAACAUGCGUGCGAGCCGUCGGGUUGGCUAAACCUGAAGGCGCAGUGAAAGCGAAGG